CCCUUCACCGCCCCUCCGCCUGGCAGAGAAGUGCUUGCUGGCAGUGGGAGACUCAAAGCAGCAGGAGUUCAAAGCAGAAUGCACUCAAGCUGCUGUUCCCUAAUUGAGGCACUGUGCACAGUUCAUCUUGUUUGGACUUAGAAACCUCAGUCUAGAAGAAACUAGCCCAAGGGAUACAGACGGGACGGAACAAUGGCCGGCAGCUCUCCCGGACUCCUGGCCACUCCCCAAAUGAGUCUAGAAGAUAAGCAACCAGAGUGAGGAACACAAUGACCCCCUUGACGGGCACGUGGUAAAUUCACAGCUCGUGUAGCUCUCGCUGAAGAGGACCUGCUCAUCAUUCAGCAAACACAGACAUGAAGUUCAGCAUCGGGCUCCCUGGUGUGUCUGACGGAUGGGACUUCCAAAGGCUGUAAAGGUCCUUGCUCAAGUCUCAGCAGUUGCCUGGAUGUAGCAGUUACACCAAGUACUUGAGUACCAGUAAAAUGGCAGUUACUCCACACUGUUCACUUGGAGAAUAACUGCCACUUCAUGCUUAUUGCUUAUUUAUUUCCUUCCUUCCUUCCUUCCUUCCUUCCUUCCUUCCUCUUUCUCUCUUUGACAGGGUCUCUCUCUGUUGCAGAAGCUGGAGUGCAGUGGCCCAAUCUCAGCUCACUGUGGCCUCGGCCUUCUGGGCUCAAGAAAUCCUCCCACCUCAGCCUCCCAAAGUGCUGGGAUUACAGGCAUGAGCUACCACAGCCUGCCUUGUUGGGUUUCUAGACAAGGUCCCUGAGACCCAGAAAGGUAAAGUGAUAUACAAAGUUCAAUAAUUACAUGUGGUGAAGCCAGCGUAGCAUCCACACCUCCUCCCUCCCCAUUUAAUGUCUUUUCACCAGAGAGCAUGUGUUAAUGAGGCUGUGGUUGUAGACUCUUAUAGGAACUGAAGACCUGUAAGACCCAUAUCCCAGUUAGCCAUCUUACAAACAGAAGCAUUCACUGAAUAUAUGUCCAGGCGAGAGAAUAGGUGGCUGUAAGAAAACUGACCCCAUUCUUUGAAACAAACACACGCAAGCUUCUUUCUCUAUCUAUCUACCUAUCUUCUAUUUCUCUAUUAUCUAUCUAUCUAUCUUUCUUUCUUUCUUCAUCACUAUAAUGCUCAAGAAUAUAUUUGCAGCAAAACCCAAUGCUAUUCUGAUCAAGAGCAAAGCCAUCAAUAGCUCUUGGUUGGAACUUGGGAAAAAACUGGGCAUAGAGAGCCUGGUGAAUACUUAUCCAGGUGAUACCAACUGUUGUAGGUCUCUUGAGUGUGGACCAUGUAUCUGAAGAAACAAUUGUUUAAAUGUUACUCAAAGGACCAAAAGGAUGGAUGUCCAAAGGGUGAGCAUUUGAUUUCUCCUCAUGUGUGGAACUUGCCUUUUAGUGACCUGGCUGAUGAGUGGCCAACGCUCUUCCUGUGCCAUUGUGUCCCACACAGCCAGAAUUUAAUCAUGCAGGAGCUGCUGGAAAGAUGCUCUAUGCAGAGAGAAAUUAAUGGAAUGAACUCAGGACAAAACCCUUGUCUCGGGUCUGCGUCAUUCUAAUAGCAGAACAAACUUCAUGCUGUCAGCAGCAAAAGAGAUGACUGGAAAUCACCUUUAGCUUUUCCAUCCAUUAUGACAGCAUGGGCAGAACGAGGAAGGAGGACAGCAAACAGGAUGAGAAACCACAGAUGAGGUGGCAGGCAGGAGGCAUGCGCUGUAUCCAUCCAAGGACAAAGAGAGGUGGCAGGAGCUAAGGCUGUGACCAGGAGAGAAAUGUGAGCCGACUUAAAGGGAAAGACAGAAGGGAGCCCUGUGCAGACUGGCUGUUUGUUACAGCUUAAGCAAAAGUGCCAAAGAAACUCUGUGAAUCAGGACUUGCACACAAGGAUGGGGGUCAGACCCAAGCUGAUGUCUACCUGGCUGAGAACGAGUCCCAUUCACUGUAUGAGGCUCAUGGAGUCUUUGCCAAGGGGCUAGUCCCAGGUUCUGGGUAUGUGGAGGGUCAGCAUUCAUGGGGAGACAUUCCUCCGCCUCUUCUGUUCUUUCCCCUAAACCUGUUAACUCCUGACACACAUCUUAUGAAUUUCUAAACCAUAUCGUCUAGUAGAAGAUCACAGAAGUUGAGUCAGUGACUCACUGGGCCAAGUUCUAUUCGUAGACAGGGAGACUGGGGAGAGUGGACUCAUUGCCGCAGUUCCACAAAGCUCUUCCGGUUAGGGGAUGCAUUGCCCAGAGUUCCACAAAGCUCUUCCGUGUAGGGGAUGCACUGCCAGGAGUGCCACAAGGCUCUUCCGGUGAGGGGAUGCAUUGCCGAGUUCCAGAAAGCUCUUCCUUGUAGGGGAAGCAUCGCCCGGAGUUCCACAAAGCUCUUCCGGUGAGGGGAUGCAUCGCCCGGAGUUCCACAAAGCUCUUCCGGUGAGGAGAUGCAUCGCCCGGAGUUCCACAAAGCUCUUCCGGUGAGGGGAUGCAUCGCCCGGAGCUCCACAAAGCUCUUCCGGUGAGGAGAUGCAUCGCCCGGAGUUCCACAAAGCUCUUCCGGUGAGGAGAUGCAUCGCCCGGAGUUCCACAAAGCUCUUCCGGUGAGGAGAUGCAUCGCCUGGAGUUCCACAAAGCUCUUCCGUGUAGGGGAUGCACUGCCGAGUUCCACAAAGCUCUUCCGUAUAGGGGAAGCAUCGCCUGGAGUUCAACAAAGCUCUUCCAUGUAGGGGAUGCAUCGCCCAGAGUUCCACAAAGCUCUUCCAUGCUGUUGGCUCUUUUGUCUCCUAAACCCUCUUCUCUCCCUGGAGAUUGUGGAAGUGCUCUUGACUAAUUCUCUGAGCUCUGUGUGGGUUGAGAGCUUAAUUCUGUUGCCCAACCUGGAAAGGGCAGAUGGGGGAGUCGGGACACCCGUGUCUUAUGCCUGACUCUGUUAUGACUUAGCUGUGUGACAGGGGACAUUUUUGUUGGUCACAACUUGGAGGGUGCUACUGGCAUCCAGAGGAUAGAAGCUUGAGAUCCCAGGAAAUGCCCUACAGUGCACCAGGCAUCCCCCUACGACACAAACAUCUGGUCCAUGACAUCACUCGUGCCCCUGUGGAAAAACUCUGCCCUAGAUUUGUUUUCUCACCUGUAAACUGAGAGGUUUGGAUUAGAUCAUUUUAAAAAUCAUUUUCAAAGACAAACUUUGAAAAGUCGAUGGUGAAGCAUAAAAUUUUACCUUAAAUUUAGAUAUGAAUCAUAACAUAAAUGAUGCUGAGAAGCAAAAAUGAAUCUCCCAAAGUAUAUAAGUGAAAUGACAGUAGCUCUUAUCAGUAAUAAGGGACUGUGCCUUGUGGCUAAGGUAGCCCCUUAAGCUAUAAAGAUGUGAGAAAUGGCAUUUUAUCAACAAGGUAUCCAACAAGGCAUUCAUUUAGAGAGAAGGAAAAAAAUCCCAAUUUCCAAAUCCCAGGCUUCCACUUAGGAGAGGCUGGAGGGAAGUGAUACACACAAACCCCUCCUGUCUAAACAAUGUGCCAGACAGAAAAAGGCCAGAGGUGAUUCGUGUGGAAAUGGGUUUUUACAGGAGCUGCAAUAAAGAACCCCCUUUCCCAAGCCCUACUGAAAUGAAAUGCUAGCUAUAUAAUCAAUGUCAUGAAGCAGAAAAGGCCUGGGGAACACCAGGGAAACCUAUCUACUGGCCAGGCACACGGAGUGCAGGUCCAGAGCUGGUGAGCAGGCUCUCUCACCAGGACGUGUGACAAUCAUCUCCUGCUGUGUAGCUUGGGGCCCCCUCCCACUGGGCUGUCACGCUGACAGAGGCUGACCUCACAGGUCUUCUUGGAGGGUCUCAGCAUUGGUAUUCAUCCCUGAAAAAUUCACUACACCUCCACAAACACAACUGAUAGCAAAUAUGAUUACAGGGAGUUCUGGGGGAGCUGAGGAGACAGGAGACGUGUUAUGAAAGGGAAAAUAAAACUCCCAAACCACCAACAAUGACACUUCACGUAUAGAUGGCUGCCCAGUGGAAUGGGAACGCUGCGUCCCGGUAACUCUGGAGUCUAUGUUCAAGGAAGAUCUAGAUAAUUUAGAAAUAUCAGUCUGGGCUCAUGAGGAUCACCUGCGCUUGUGAUCCUCUGAGGCUUAAUUGUUAUAUUUCAUUCUUACAGUUUUCAGAUUGGGAGAAAAUGGGGCACUCAAGAGCCAUUUGGACUUUUCAAAGGUCAGGGUCUGAAGAGCCUGAUGCUUAGACACUGAUAGGGACCCUGACUCUAAAAACCUUUGCAGGAGUGGAGGUGCAGGCAUGGUGGGUGGGAGGUGUGAUCUCUGGCUUAGACACCAGCAUGAAACACCCCCGGGAAGCAUCAGGAAAUGUCUUAAGUAAAUGCCAGGAAGGGGAGGAGGCAAAUGAGAGAGUUCAGGCCACAGUUGCCUCAUUUUCAUAGUUCAAGAAGUCAUUCAUGAAGAAUGUCACACACACACACAAAACAGAUAGAAAAGGUAGCCUCUGCCAAGGUCUCCUUUCCUCGUAUGGACAUUUAUGAUAUUAUGAUAUUGACAGCACUAAUAAUAUUGUGGAUUUUAAAUCUUCAUUUCCCCAACAUUCUCACCCACAUGGUAAUUUGGGUGAUUUAGACAAGCCACUCUCUGAGGGGAAAGUUGGAGAAUGCAGAAGUUAGUGCAGUCAGCAACUCCAGCAACCUGACAUAUCUAAGAGUUGGAAUAUCGAAGGAAAAUCUAAAAACAGGUCAGUGAGUGAAAUCUGACCUCUACCUAGCCAUGAAUAGAUGAUUGUUUUUAUUUUUCUACAUUUUUUUUUUGAGAUGGAGUCCCACACUGUUGCCCAGG
rnacentral:lncRNA from 10 species